UCGUACAGUGCCUCAAUAGUUAAGGG
rnacentral:sRNA from 1 species